rnacentral:rRNA from 1 species
GACGAACGCUGGCGGCGUGCCUAAUACAUGCAAGUCGAGCGAGCUUGCCUAGAUGAAUUUGGUGCUUGCACCAAAUGAAACUAGAUACAAGCGAGCGGCGGACGGGUGAGUAACACGUGGGUAACCUGCCCAAGAGACUGGGAUAACACCUGGAAACAGAUGCUAAUACCGGAUAACAACACUAGACGCAUGUCUAGAGUUUAAAAGAUGGUUCUGCUAUCACUCUUGGAUGGACCUGCGGUGCAUUAGCUAGUUGGUAAGGUAACGGCUUACCAAGGCAAUGAUGCAUAGCCGAGUUGAGAGACUGAUCGGCCACAUUGGGACUGAGACACGGCCCAAACUCCUACGGGAGGCAGCAGUAGGGAAUCUUCCACAAUGGACGCAAGUCUGAUGGAGCAACGCCGCGUGAGUGAAGAAGGGUUUCGGCUCGUAAAGCUCUGUUGGUAGUGAAGAAAGAUAGAGGUAGUAACUGGCCUUUAUUUGACGGUAAUUACUUAGAAAGUCACGGCUAACUACGUGCCAGCAGCCGCGGUAAUACGUAGGUGGCAAGCGUUGUCCGGAUCUAUUGGGCGUAAAGCGAGUGCAGGCGGUUCAAUAAGUCUGAUGUGAAAGCCUUCGGCUCAACCGGAGAAUUGCAUCAGAAACUGUUGAACUUGAGUGCAGAAGAGGAGAGUGGAACUCCAUGUGUAGCGGUGGAAUGCGUAGAUAUAUGGAAGAACACCAGUGGCGAAGGCGGCUCUCUGGUCUGCAACUGACGCUGAGGCUCGAAAGCAUGGGUAGCGAACAGG